rnacentral:rRNA from 1 species
GACGAACGCUGGUGGCGUGCUUAACACAUGCAAGUCGAACGGAAAGGCCCUGCUUUUGUGGGGUGCUCGAGUGGCGAACGGGUGAGUAACACGUGAGUAACCUGCCCUUGACUUUGGGAUAACUUCAGGAAACUGGGGCUAAUACCGGAUAGGAGCUCCUGCUGCAUGGUGGGGGUUGGAAAGUUUCGGCGGUUGGGGAUGGACUCGCGGCUUAUCAGCUUGUUGGUGGGGUAGUGGCUUACCAAGGCUUUGACGGGUAGCCGGCCUGAGAGGGUGACCGGCCACAUUGGGACUGAGACACGGCCCAGACUCCUACGGGAGGCAGCAGUGGGGAAUAUUGCACAAUGGGCGGAAGCCUGAUGCAGCAACGCCGCGUGCGGGAUGACGGCCUUCGGGUUGUAAACCGCUUUCGCCUGUGACGAAGCGUGAGUGACGGUAAUGGGUAAAGAAGCACCGGCUAACUACGUGCCAGCAGCCGCGGUGAUACGUAGGGUGCGAGCGUUGUCCGGAUUUAUUGGGCGUAAAGGGCUCGUAGGUGGUUGAUCGCGUCGGAAGUGUAAUCUUGGGGCUUAACCCUGAGCGUGCUUUCGAUACGGGUUGACUUGAGGAAGGUAGGGGAGAAUGGAAUUCCUGGUGGAGCGGUGGAAUGCGCAGAUAUCAGGAGGAACACCAGUGGCGAAGGCGGUUCUCUGGGCCUUUCCUGACGCUGAGGAGCGAAAGCGUGGGGAGCGAACAGGCUUAGAUACCCUGGUAGUCCACGCUGUAAACGGUGGGUACUAGGUGUGGGGUCCAUUCCACGGGUUCCGUGCCGUAGCUAACGCUUUAAGUACCCCGCCUGGGGAGUACGGCCGCAAGGCUAAAACUCAAAGGAAUUGACGGGGCCCCGCACAAGCGGCGGAGCAUGCGGAUUAAUUCGAUGCAACGCGUAGAACCUUACCUGGGUUUGACAUGGAUCGGGAGCGCUCAGAGAUGGGUGUGCCUCUUUUGGGGUCGGUUCACAGGUGGUGCAUGGCUGUCGUCAGCUCGUGUCGUGAGAUGUUGGGUUAAGUCCCGCAACGAGCGCAACCCUUGUUCACUGUUGCCAGCACGUUAUGGUGGGGACUCAGUGGAGACCGCCGGGGUCAACUCGGAGGAAGGUGGGGAUGACGUCAAGUCAUCAUGCCCCUUAUGUCCAGGGCUUCACGCAUGCUACAAUGGCUGGUACAGAGAGUGGCGAGCCUGUGAGGGUGAGCGAAUCUCGGAAAGCCGGUCUCAGUUCGGAUUGGGGUCUGCAACUCGACCUCAUGAAGUCGGAGUCGCUAGUAAUCGCAGAUCAGCAACGCUGCGGUGAAUACGUUCCCGGG